rnacentral:ribozyme from 1 species
UUGGGAGAUUGAUGCCAUAGCAGAAGUGCUCAUGGUUGCGACCCUGUCAGAUUCCAAUGAAUCUGCAAAUGCUGCU